CUGCAUGAUGGAAGUUCAUCAUUCUUCUGUUUUCCAAGCAGAAUGACUAUUCCUUCAAUGCUAUAAAAUGAGGAGUUUUCAGGGCCACCAGCUUUGAAGUGGAAGUUGAGUGGUAGUAUAUUUCUUCAACAUAA